GCUGGCGGCGUGCCUAAUACAUGCAAGUCGAACGAGGCCCUCCUCCUUCGGGAGGAGGUGUCCUAGUGGCGAACGGGUGAGUAACACGUUGGUGACCUACCCCGAAGAGGGGGACAACCCCGGGAAACUGGGGCUAAUACCCCAUGUGAUCCAGAGCGUUAGAGGGCUCUGGAUGAAAUGGAGCAAUUCGCUUCGGGAGGGGCCUGCGGCCUAUCAGCUAGUUGGUGAGGUAAUGGCUCACCAAGGCGACGACGGGUAGGGGACCUGAGAGGGUGACCCCCCCACACUGGAACUGAAACACGGACCAGACACCUACGGGUGGCAGCAGUAGGGAAUAUUGCACAAUAGGCGAAAGCCUGAUGCAGCAACGCCGCGUGCGCGAUGAAGGCCUUCGGGUUGUAAAGCGCUUUUCUGGGGGAAGAGAAAGGACGGUACCCCAGGAAUAAGUCUCGGCUAACUACGUGCCAGCAGCCGCGGUAAAACGUAGGAGGCAAGCGUUAUCCGGAUUUACUGGGCGUAAAGCGCGUGCAGGCGGUUUGGUAAGUCGGACGUGAAAGCUCCCGGCUCAACUGGGAGAGGCCGUUCGAAACUACCAGACUAGAGGGCAGCAGAGGGAGGUGGAAUUCCGGGUGUAGCGGUGAAAUGCGUAGAUAUCCGGAGGAACACCAGUGGCGAAGGCGGCCUCCUGGACUGUCCCUGACGCUAAGACGCGAAAGCUAGGGUAGCAAACGGGAUUAGAAACCCCGGUAGUCCUAGCUGUAAACGAUGCACACUUGGUGUUGGUGGCAUNAAACCCAUCAGUGCCGCAGCUAACGCGAKAAGUGUGCCGCCUGGGGGACUAC
rnacentral:rRNA from 1 species